AGAACUCAGCUUCUGGUCACUGUUAAUACAGACUUCCUGUUUGAAGUCAGAGUGUGUGUGUGUGUGUGUGUGUGUGGCCUGAUCUGCUCUUUCCUCCGGCCAGGCCUCCGAUCUGUGUCUGCCAGGCAGGAAACCACUGGCGCUGUGACAAAAUGAGCCAGAGUGAGACCUGAGGAGCAGAUGGAAGUGAAAGCAGGGCUCUGUUUGCUGGAUUUCUGAAGAGUUUUGGAAACAGCCCCAGGUUUGAAAAGAACCAUCAAAUGGAGCAGACCAGGAACAGGUACAGACCCCGGUGGACCGGCGUCCACACUCUGCUGCCAGAACAACUGCAUGAUGGGAAGCAGGCAUCCUUUUCUCUGCACUGCGUCACAUCUUUAAGUCCCAGCGUCCCACUGGGCGACGCUGCUGCUGUGAGUGACACUGGAAAUCCAACUCCAACACAAGUGGAUCAGCUGUGGACUGUAUACGCACAACGACCAAAUGAUAUCAUUUAAAAUCAAAAGUCAGGAAACUGAAAUAGAACCAACUGUAGUCACACAACACAGCUCUACUCACAGUAAUAAGUGAAAGGAGAAAGAAAAAGAAAAUUAACC